AUUGAACGCUGGCGGCAGGCCUAACACAUGCAAGUCGAGCGAGCGGCGGACGGGUGAGUAAUGUCUGGGAAACUGCCUGAUGGAGGGGGAUAACUACUGGAAACGGUCGCUAAUACCGCAUACCAUCGGAUGUGCCCAGAUGGGAUUAGCUAGACGGUGGGGUAACGGCUCACAUAGGCGACGAUCCCUAGCUGGUCUGAGAGAAUGACCAGCCAAACUGGAACUGAGACACGGUCCAGACUCCAACGGGAGGCAUCAGUGGGGAAUAUUGCACAAUGGGCGCAAGCCUGAUGCAGUCAUGCCGCGUGUAUGAAGGAGGCCUUCGGGUUGUAAAGUACGUUCAGCGGGGAGGCGUUACCCGCAGAAGAAGCACCGGCUAACUCCGUGCCAGCCGCCGCGGUAAUAC
rnacentral:rRNA from 1 species